GGGGUUGUGGCUUAGUGGUAGAGCGCUUGCCUAGCAUGCAUGAGGCACUGGGUUGGAUCCCCGGCACCACA
rnacentral:tRNA from 1 species